rnacentral:rRNA from 1 species
GUGGGGAAUUUUGGACAAUGGGCGCAAGCCUGAUCCAGCAAUGCCGCGUGCAGGAUGAAGGCCUUCGGGUUGUAAACUGCUUUUGUACGGAACGAAAAGCCCUGGGUUAAUACCCUGGGGUCAUGACGGUACCGUAAGAAUAAGCACCGGCUAACUACGUGCCAGCAGCCGCGGUAAUACGUAGGGUGCAAGCGUUAAUCGGAAUUACUGGGCGUAAAGCGUGCGCAGGCGGUUUUGUAAGACAGAGGUGAAAUCCCCGGGCUCAACCUGGGAACUGCCUUUGUGACUGCAAGGCUAGAGUACGGCAGAGGGGGAUGGAAUUCCGCGUGUAGCAGUGAAAUGCGUAGAUAUGCGGAGGAACACCGAUGGCGAAGGCAAUCCCCUGGGCCUGCACUGACGCUCAUGCACGAAAGCGUGGGGAGCAAACAGGAUUAGAUACCCUUGUAGUCC